rnacentral:lncRNA from 1 species
UACGAAAAGGCCUUCGAUAGCGCCGAAAUGAACAGUAUUGAAAUCUCGGGAAAUUCAAGGUGUCGAUGCGCAAUACAUCAAACUCUGGAUACUCAACGGAUUACCAGUAUUAUAUUACCAGUAAAGGUCUCAGUUAAGAAGGGUGUCAAGGAAGGAGAUACCAUACUGCCAAAGCUCUUUACUGCAUGUCUAGAAAUGGUCAUCAGGUGCAUCACUCAGUCCGGGAAUCGAACUUAUGAUUUUACGAUCAUAAGCUCAACACCCUAAUCACCAAAUCAUGUUCAGGGAUAAUCCCAUAUAGCUAAGUACAUUAAAUGUUUAAGAAAUUAAUCAUUGAAUAUCUAAUAUAUAGAUACCCAGUGGAAAAUAAAGUGGCAUAGCUGCAAAGUUCAAAAAAAGAACGUUGAAUUCUUUGUAGAAAAUUUCGCAAUAUUUGAAAAUUUGAUCGCUUAUGGUAGAAAUGAUUUCAGUCCCUUGUUCGCACGUCUUUAUUGACGCCAGGUCCUACGAAUCUGCUGGCCAAAGUUUCAACUUCUGUAAACACGAUGACGAACUUUUGGAGAGGAAUUGCGUCAGGUAUUGUAGAAAAUCGUUCGAUACGUUGCAUAAAACUACUGCGUUGAAUAGCGUGAUUGGUCGAACAUCCAGACUAUAUACAAUUGCUAUUAUUUCGAUCCACUACUAAAACAGCAAAGUCUGUUGUGUUAGUGAAAACUAGUUUCUUGAUGCGAACUAAUUAAGGCAUCGGCAACUGUGUCCUUGGUUUUGAACGUGUAAAGUCAUCGGCAUGAAGCAGUGGCAUUAUGAAAAAGUAAUGAAUUUCAUGGUGAGGAUAUUUACUGGAGUUCGAAGACAGAACAUAUGUGAGGGUUGAGGUCAGAUCUUUAGAAGGAAACUGUUGAUAAGGAGGUUUUGCAUAUAAGACAGGUCAGUCAAACGAAGUGAACUGAAACUUAUUCUGUACUUUAUAAAGAUAGCAGAAAGUAAUAUUGUCUCGCAAAGAAGAUUCCAAGCAAUUAUCGAAA